CCUGUAAGCCUGGGUACUUAUGCACAAAGCGUUGUACGAUCAGAUUACACACAUGUGCCAUGCACGGCACAUGUGUCAACUUGCCCAAAUGCAAUGCCGCCAACAAAUUUCUUCCAUUGUCACAAACCACUUUGCCGAUCUCCAGUUGGUGCGGAGUCAGCCACUGAUCCACCUGUGCGUUCAGGGGGACAGGAGUGCUGGUCCGGUG